CAAGUACUCCCUCCGUCCGGAAUUACUUGUCAUAAAAAUGGAUGUGUCAAGAACUAAAAUACAUCUAGAUACAUCCAUUUCAAUGACAAGUAUUUUCGGACGGAGGGAGUACAAG
rfam:Triticum urartu cultivar G1812 contig180574, whole genome shotgun sequence.